CUGCAGGUCUGUUCUGCGUUUUAUGUAUGUGUGGGGAAGACCACCAUUUAAAAAAUAAAUAAAACUAGUGUUUCAAAUCAGAAUAAAAAAACAAGAUGGCAACAGUUCUGCAGAACCAGAAAUUCCAUACCUCUGCAACACUGGAACAAUGUCAGAGAAGAACGUCACACAAUUGAAUUCAUCUGCAAGCCCAUGGAUGAGGAUAGAUCUCCUGCUUUCUAAUAUAAAAAAUUCAAUGGUGGCAGCUAAAACUUAAACAGCUGAUUAUUUUUUGUUUCCGGUUUCCCAUCAGGUCUCUCAGUGAAACACUACUCCCACACUCAGUCUCCCGAAAGCCUCCAUAUUCUGUCUCUUUGGUAUUAAAAGAGAUGCGGUGUUCUUCACUUCUGUCCUCCAGUAUAAGCAGCUGUCAGGACUUCUGCAAUGUGAGGCGCUGGCACAGCUGCCCAGAGAAGCUGUGGUGCCCCAUCCCUGGAGGCGCUCAAGGCCAC
ensembl:lncRNA